UUAUUUUCGGAUACGAAAUAGAAAUCGUUAAUUUUCAAUUUUAAUUAAAACAUAAAUUGUGUAUAAAUUUUAUUGGUAUAAAGAUAUUAUUGGAGAUUAGGGGUAAAUUAACUAUGAUUAGAUUAUUAAGUGGGAUUAAAAUUUAAAUCACUUCAUUAAUUAAUUAAGCUUAAGGGGCCAUGUGGGCCCCUCCCGAAUAAAAAAAAAUAAAAUAAAAUAAAGGAAUCAAAAUCUGGAAAUUAACAAAACAAGGUGCAAAAGUGAGUCAUCAAAAGGGGGAAUACGUGUAGCAAUAUGGGAAAUAUAUAUAUUUAAUUGGAUGUAGUGCAAAUGACCAUUUUCAAGUCAUUUGUUGGUAGACAAAGCUCAAGAGCAAGAAAAAAAAAGUGCCAUGGCUGCUCACGGCUAGAUUGGGGUUUUAAAAAAAAAAAAAUCAGUUUUGUUGCUUAGUAAAAAUUCUAAGGAGAAGACAAGGAGAUAGAGGUGGAGAAGCAAGAAUAAGUAUAAAGAUUUAAGACACAAAUUGGAGCCAAGUAUCCAAGGCGAAAAGAGCAACGAGGAAAAAGGGAUUCACGGAUAGUCGUCGACAGGUACAUACGACAGGUUCGCUGAUCCGCCCGCUUAGGAUCUUAUUCUGCUAUUCUGAGGCGCUCUCUUAUCCGGAGCCUAUAUUUUUGGUACA